rnacentral:rRNA from 1 species
UACGAAGGGGGCUAGCGUUGCUCGGAAUCACUGGGCGUAAAGCGCACGUAGGCGGAUUGCUAAGUCAGGGGUGAAAUCCCGGAGCUCAACUCCGGAACUGCCUUUGAUACUGGAGAUCUUGAGUCCGGGAGAGGUGAGUGGAACUGCGAGUGUAGAGGUGAAAUUCGUAGAUAUUCGCAAGAACACCAGUGGCGAAGGCGGCUCACUGGCCCGGUACUGACGCUGAGGUGCGAAAGCGUGGGGAGCAAACAGG